UUUAAAGCGGUAGAAUUGUCUGGUUUUGAGCCGUCUUUGUCAAAUUAAGAGAAAACAGUGUUGAUUGUUGAUGUUUUACAGAAGGACACCGCUCAGUGUUGCAGCGCACCAGCAGAGAGGACAGGGACACUUUACAGAAAGUGACUUACAACCUGAGCAGUGAUGGACCUGGAUUGUCUUUGUCUUCCAUCUUUCUGGAGCUUCUGCAGCGAGCUGUGGAAGAAGGGGGAGGAAAUCCAGAUCCUUACCCAGACAAACAAGAGCUGAAUUAAACUACUUGUGAAGACAAUUGUUUUCCCC